GAUGAACGCUGGCGGCGUGCCUAAUACAUGCAAGUCGAGCGAACAGACGAGGAGCUUGCUCCUCUGCCGUUAGCGGCGGACGGGUGAGUAACACGUGGAUAACCUACCUAUAAGACUAGGAUCACUUCGGGAACCCGGAGCUCAUACCGGAUAAUAUAUUGAACCGCAUGGUUCAAUAGUGAAAGCCGGUUCUGCUGUCCCUAAUAGAUGGUUCCGCGCCGCAUUAGCUAGUUGGUAAGGUAACGGCUUACCAAGGCAACGAUGCGUAGCCGACCUGAGAGGGUGAUCAGCCACACUGGAACUGAGACACGGUCCAGACUCCUACGGGAGGCAGCAGUAGGGAAUCUUCCGCAAUGGGCGAAAGCCUGACGGAGCAACGCCGCGUGAGUGAUGAAGGUCUUCGGAUCGUAAAACUCUGUUAGUAGGGAAGAACAAAAGUGUAAGUAACUAUUCACGUCUUGACGGUACCUAAACAGAAAGCCACGGCUAACUACGUG
rnacentral:rRNA from 1 species